CACAAAUGCUGACUUUUGAUUUGACUUAUGAAGUACCUCCAUUUAAAUUUUUACUUUAGCGGUAUACAUUUUAUGUACUUGAACCAAAGGAGAGAUCUUUGUAUCAUUGAUUCCAGUCGUAAUAAAGCUUUGCUAUUCGGUAGGGUAUCAUUAGUUAUUGUGUUUUCCUCUUGUAUUGUAGGUCGACCUCUUGGGUGAUGAGGUGGAAAUACUUUUUGGGCUUCUCGAGAAUAUAUACAUUGCGCUCAAUCAUUAUUCCCCAGUAUUGAAACAUUAUUCUGGAAUUAUGGAGAUGCUGGAGCUUGUUAGAAAAGAAUUGAGUGGAGAAUCUAGGAAGCCACGUUGAUUUAUACUUUCAUUGGGUAUUCAGCAUUUGGGAAGGAAUCAUUGCUUAUGCAAAAAUUUCACAAUCAAUAAUAGGAUUUUGCGCAGGUGACCUGGAAAGAGGCAUUGUUAUCUCUGGUGAUUAUGUUAUUCUCUUUGUAUAGAAACUCAGAAGGUAGUUAGC